GGGUUGUGAGGUUAAGCGACUAAGCGUACACGGUGGAUGCCCUGGCAGUCAGAGGCGAUGAAGGACGUGCUAAUCUGCGAAAAGCGUCGGUAAGGUGAUAUGAACCGUUACAGCCGGCGAUGUCCGAAUGGGGAAACCCAGUGCAAUUCGUUGCACUAUCGUUAACUGAAUACAUAGGUUAACGAGGCGAACCGGGGGAACUGAAACAUCUAAGUACCCCGAGGAAAAGAAAUCAACCGAGAUUCCCCCAGUAGCGGCGAGCGAACGGGGAGCAGCCCAGAGUCUGAAUCAGCUUGUGUGUUAGUGGAACGGUCUGGAAAGUCCGACGGUACAGGGUGAUAGUCCCGUACACCAAAAUGCACAGGCUGUGAACUCGAAGAGUAGGGCGGGACACGUGGUAUCCUGUCUGAAUAUGGGGGGACCAUCCUCCAAGGCUAAAUACUCCUGACUGACCGAUAGUGAACCAGUACCGUGAGGGAAAGGCGAAAAGAACCCCGGCGAGGGGAGUGAAAAAGAACCUGAAACCGUGUACGUACAAGCAGUGGGAGCACCUUCGGGUGUGACUGCGUACCUUUUGUAUAAUGGGUCAGCGACUUAUAUUCUGUAGCAAGGUUAACCGUAUAGGGGAGCCGCAGGGAAACCGAGUCUUAACUGGGCGUUAAGUUGCAGGGUAUAGACCCGAAACCCGGUGAUCUAGCCAUGGGCAGGUUGAAGGUUGGGUAACACUAACUGGAGGACCGAACCGACUAAUGUUGAAAAAUUAGCGGAUGACUUGUGGCUGGGGGUGAAAGGCCAAUCAAACCGGGAGAUAGCUGGUUCUCCCCGAAAGCUAUUUAGGUAGCGCCUCGUGAACUCAUCUUCGGGGGUAGAGCACUGUUUCGGCUAGGGGGUCAUCCCGACUUACCAACCCGAUGCAAACUACGAAUACCGAAGAAUGUUAUCACGGGAGACACACGGCGGGUGCUAACGUCCGUCGUGAAGAGGGAAACAACCCAGACCGCCAGCUAAGGUCCCAAAGUCAUGGUUAAGUGGGAAACGAUGUGGGAAGGCACAGACAGCCAGGAUGUUGGCUUAGAAGCAGCCAUCAUUUAAAGAAAGCGUAAUAGCUCACUGGUCGAGUCGGCCUGCGCGGAAGAUGUAACGGGGCUAAACCAUGCACCGAAGCUGCGGCAGCGACACUAUGUGUUGUUGGGUAGGGGAGCGUUCUGUAAGCCUGCGAAGGUGACCUGUGAGGGUUGCUGGAGGUAUCAGAAGUGCGAAUGCUGACAUAAGUAACGAUAAAGCGGGUGAAAAGCCCGCUCGCCGGAAGACCAAGGGUUCCUGUCCAACGUUAAUCGGGGCAGGGUGAGUCGACCCCUAAGGCGAGGCCGAAAGGCGUAGUCGAUGGGAAACAGGUUAAUAUUCCUGUACUUGGUGUUACUGCGAAGGGGGGACGGAGAAGGCUAUGUUAGCCGGGCGACGGUUGUCCCGGUUUAAGCAUGUAGGCUGGUUGUCCAGGCAAAUCCGGAUAAUCAAGGCUGAGGUGUGAUGACGAGGCACUACGGUGCUGAAGUAACAAAUGCCCUGCUUCCAGGAAAAGCCUCUAAGCAUCAGGUAACAUUAAAUCGUACCCCAAACCGACACAGGUGGUCAGGUAGAGAAUACCAAGGCGCUUGAGAGAACUCGGGUGAAGGAACUAGGCAAAAUGGUGCCGUAACUUCGGGAGAAGGCACGCUGGUGUGUAGGUGAAGUCCCUGCGGAUGGAGCUGAGACCAGUCGAAGAUACCAGCUGGCUGCAACUGUUUAUUAAAAACACAGCACUGUGCAAACACGAAAGUGGACGUAUACGGUGUGACGCCUGCCCGGUGCCGGAAGGUUAAUUGAUGGGGUUAUCCGUAAGGAGAAGCUCUUGAUCGAAGCCCCGGUAAACGGCGGCCGUAACUAUAACGGUCCUAAGGUAGCGAAAUUCCUUGUCGGGUAAGUUCCGACCUGCACGAAUGGCGUAAUGAUGGCCAGGCUGUCUCCACCCGAGACUCAGUGAAAUUGAACUCGCUGUGAAGAUGCAGUGUACCCGCGGCAAGACGGAAAGACCCCGUGAACCUUUACUAUAGCUUGACACUGAACAUUGAGCCUUGAUGUGUAGGAUAGGUGGGAGGCUUUGAAGCGUGGACGCCAGUCUGCGUGGAGCCAACCUUGAAAUACCACCCUUUAAUGUUUGAUGUUCUAACGUUGGCCCCUUAUCGGGGUUGCGGACAGUGUCUGGUGGGUAGUUUGACUGGGGCGGUCUCCUCCCAAAGCGUAACGGAGGAGCACGAAGGUUAGCUAAUCCUGGUCGGACAUCAGGAGGUUAGUGCAAUGGCAUAAGCUAGCUUGACUGCGAGCGUGACGGCGCGAGCAGGUGCGAAAGCAGGUCAUAGUGAUCCGGUGGUUCUGAAUGGAAGGGCCAUCGCUCAACGGAUAAAAGGUACUCCGGGGAUAACAGGCUGAUACCGCCCAAGAGUUCAUAUCGACGGCGGUGUUUGGCACCUCGAUGUCGGCUCAUCACAUCCUGGGGCUGAAGUAGGUCCCAAGGGUAUGGCUGUUCGCCAUUUAAAGUGGUACGCGAGCUGGGUUUAGAACGUCGUGAGACAGUUCGGUCCCUAUCUGCCGUGGGCGCUGGAGAAUUGAGGGGGGCUGCUCCUAGUACGAGAGGACCGGAGUGGACGCAUCACUGGUGUUCGGGUUGUCAUGCCAAUGGCACUGCCCGGUAGCUAAAUGCGGAAGAGAUAAGUGCUGAAAGCAUCUAAGCACGAAACUUGCCCCGAGAUGAGUUCUCCCUGAGACUUUAAGUCUCCUGAAGGAACGUUGAAGACGACGACGUUGAUAGGCCGGGUGUGUAAGCGCAGCGAUGCGUUGAGCUAACCGGUACUAAUGAACCGUGAGGCUUAACCUUACAACGCCGAAG
rnacentral:rRNA from 1 species